rnacentral:miRNA from 1 species
CAGCAGACACAUUCCAGCCAAUCAGCAGCAGACCCUCCCUCCCACCUCCUGGACAGCAGCCAUUUUGAAGUUGCAUUCUUAGUGAGCUGUUCAGGAGGUGGGAGGGUCUGGGAGGGAGGGUCUGCUGCUGAUUGGCUGGAAUGUGUCUGCUG